rnacentral:rRNA from 1 species
GAUUAACGCUGGCGGCGUGCAUGAAACAUGCAAGUCGAGCGCGGUUCACGACGGGGUAACCCGACGUGGAUCUAGCGGCGAACGGGUGAGUAACACGUGAGCAACCUACCCUCGAGUCCGGGAUAGCCCUGAGAAAUCAGGAUUAAUACCGGAUGUCGGUCACGACGAGGCAUCUCGUCGUGCCUAAAGGCGCAAGCCGCUCAAGGACGGGCUCGCGGCUUAUUAGCUUGUUGGUGGGGUGAUGGCCUACCAAGGCGAUGAUGAGUAGCUGGUCUGA